UUUACGAAAAAAUACUUCAGAGUGUACCUGAAAGGGUUCACUGCGAAGUUCGUCACACUAUCAUUAACUGAAUCCAUAGGUUAAUGAGGCGAACCGGGGGAACUGAAACAUCUAAGUACCCCGAGGAAAAGAAAUCAACCGAGAUUCCCCCAGUAGCGGCGAGCGAACGGGGAGGAGCCCAGAGCCUGAAUCAGCAUGUGUGUUAGUGGAAGCGUCUGGAAAGGCGCGCGAUACAGGGUGACAGCCCCGUACACAAAAGCGCAUGUGCUGUGAGCUCGAUGAGUAGGGCGGGACACGUGGUAUCCUGUCUGAAUAUGGGGGGACCAUCCUCCAAGGCUAAAUACUCCUGACUGACCGAUAGUGAACCAGUACCGUGAGGGAAAGGCGAAAAGAACCCCGGCGAGGGGAGUGAAAAAGAACCUGAAACCGUGUACGUACAAGCAGUGGGAGCCCCACCACUAAGCCAGUGGUGAACUCCACAUCCGCAUCCUUUGCUGAGGAUACGGUUAACGGAGCGAAAGCGACGUUCAACCGCAAAACAAGCAGAGGGGGCUUAGUACCCCGGCGAGGGGAGUGAAAAAGAACCUGAAACCGUGUACGUACAAGCAGUGGGAGCACCCUUCGGGAACCCCGGCGAGGGGAGUGAAAAAGAACCUGAAACCGUGUACGUACAAGCAGUGGGAGCACAGGUUUACCUGUGUGACUGCGUACCUUUUGUAUAAUGGGUCAGCGACUUAUAUUCUGUAGCAAGGUUAACCGUAUAGGGGAGCCGGAGGGAAACCGAGUCUUAAUUGGGCGUUAAGUUGCAGGGUAUAGACCCGAAACCCGGUGAUCUAGCCAUGGGCAGGUUGAAGGUUGGGUAACACUAACUGGAGGACCGAACCGACUAAUGUUGAAAAAUUAGCGGAUGACCUGUGGCUGGGGGUGAAAGGCCAAUCAAACCGGGAGAUAGCUGGUUCUCCCCGAAAGCUAUUUAGGUAGCGCCUCGUGAAUUCAUCUCCGGGGGUAGAGCACUGUUUCGGCUAGGGGGCCAUCCCGGCUUACCAACCCGAUGCAAACUGCGAAUACCGGAGAAUGUUAUCACGGGAGACACACGGCGGGUGCUAACGUCCGUCGUGAAGAGGGAAACAACCCAGACCGCCAGCUAAGGUCCCAAAGUCAUGGUUAAGUGGGAAACGAUGUGGGAAGGCCCAGACAGCCAGGAUGUUGGCUUAGAAGCAGCCAUCAUUUAAAGAAAGCGUAAUAGCUCACUGGUCGAGUCGGCCUGCGCGGAAGAUGUAACGGGGCUAAACCAUGCACCGAAGCUGCGGCAGCGACGCUGAUGCGUUGUUGGGUAGGGGAGCGUUCUGUAAGCCUGCGAAGGUGAUGCGCGGAAGAUGUAACGGGGCUAAACCAUGCACCGAAGCUGCGGCAGCGAACGUAUCACCCAAGACAACUUUACGGAGUUGACGAUUGACGGAGCGAAGCGACGUCAAAGCGUUCAUUAAAGUCGAGUUGGCUUAGGGAUACGUUCGUUGGGUAGGGGAGCGUUCUGUAAGCCUGUGAAGGUGUGUCGUGAGGCAUGCUGGAGGUAUCAGAAGUGCGAAUGCUGACAUAAGUAACGAUAAAGCGGGUGAAAAGCCCGCUCGCCGGAAGACCAAGGGUUCCUGUCCAACGUUAAUCGGGGCAGGGUGAGUCGACCCCUAAGGCGAGGCCGAAAGGCGUAGUCGAUGGGAAACGGGUUAAUAUUCCCGUACUUGGUGUUACUGCGAAGGGGGGACGGAGAAGGCUAUGUUGGCCGGGCGACGGUUGUCCCGGUUUAAGCGUGUAGGUGUGUGUUCCAGGUAAAUCCGGUUCACUUUAACACUGAGGCGUGACGACGAGGCACUACGGUGCUGAAGCAACAAAUGCCCUGCUUCCAGGAAAAGCCUCUAAGCAUCAGGUAACAUCAAAUCGUACCCCAAACCGACACAGGUGGUCAGGUAGAGAAUACCAAGGCGCUUGAGAGAACUCGGGUGAAGGAACUAGGCAAAAUGGUGCCGUAACUUCGGGAGAAGGCACGCUGACACGUAGGUGAAGUGAUUUACUCAUGGAGCUGAAGUCAGUCGAAGAUACCAGCUGGCUGCAACUGUUUAUUAAAAACACAGCACUGUGCAAACACGAAAGUGGACGUAUACGGUGUGACGCCUGCCCGGUGCCGGAAGGUUAAUUGAUGGGGUCAGCGCAAGCGAAGCUCCUGAUCGAAGCCCCGGUAAACGGCGGCCGUAACUAUAACGGUCCUAAGGUGCGAAAUUCCUUGUCGGGUAAGUUCCGACCUGCACGAAUGGCGUAAUGAUGGCCAGGCUGUCUCCACCCGAGACUCAGUGAAAUUGAACUCGCUGUGAAGAUGCAGUGUACCCGCGGCAAGACGGAAAGACCCCGUGAACCUUUACUAUAGCUUGACACUGAACAUUGAGCCUUGAUGUGUAGGAUAGGUGGGAGGCUUUGAAGUGUGGACGCCAGUCUGCAUGGAGCCGACCUUGAAAUACCACCCUUUAAUGUUUGAUGUUCUAACGUGGACCCGUAAUCCGGGUUGCGGACAGUGUCUGGUGGGUAGUUUGACUGGGGCGGUCUCCUCCUAAAGAGUAACGGAGGAGCACGAAGGUUGGCUAAUCCUGGUCGGACAUCAGGAGGUUAGUGCAAUGGCAUAAGCCAGCUUGACUGCGAGCGUGACGGCGCGAGCAGGUGCGAAAGCAGGUCAUAGUGAUCCGGUGGUUCUGAAUGGAAGGGCCAUCGCUCAACGGAUAAAAGGUACUCCGGGGAUAACAGGCUGAUACCGCCCAAGAGUUCAUAUCGACGGCGGUGUUUGGCACCUCGAUGUCGGCUCAUCACAUCCUGGGGCUGAAGUAGGUCCCAAGGGUAUGGCUGUUCGCCAUUUAAAGUGGUACGCGAGCUGGGUUUAGAACGUCGUGAGACAGUUCGGUCCCUAUCUGCCGUGGGCGCUGGAGAACUGAGGGGGGCUGCUCCUAGUACGAGAGGACCGGAGUGGACGCAUCACUGGUGUUCGGGUUGUCAUGCCAAUGGCACUGCCCGGUAGCUAAAUGCGGAAGAGAUAAGUGCUGAAAGCAUCUAAGCACGAAACUUGCCCCGAGAUGAGUUCU
rnacentral:rRNA from 1 species